rnacentral:rRNA from 1 species
UACGGAGGGUCCAAGCGUUAAUCGGAAUUACUGGGCGUAAAGCGUGCGCAGGCGGUUUGUUAAGCGAGAUGUGAAAGCCCCCGGGCUCAACCUGGGAAGUUGCAUUUCGAACUGGCAAACUAAGAGUCUUGUAGAGGGGGGUAGGAAUUCCAGGUGUAGCGGUGAAAUAGCGUAGAGAUCUGGAGGAAUACCGGUGGCGAAGGCGGCCCCCCUCGGAUAAAGAACUGACGCUCAGGCACGAAAGCGUGGGGAGGCAAACAGGAUUAGAUACCCCCGUACGU